rnacentral:rRNA from 1 species
GAGGCUCGUACUUGAGAUUGUGCUUACUGCACUUUUCUUAUCUACACACGUGUUUUUGUUUUAUUCUUAAAACUUGCUUUGGCAGUGGCUGCUUAAUUGCUCUGCUGCCAGAGGAUAAACUCAACCUAAAUUUUUUAUUUUAAACUAGUCAACUGAUUAUAUUUAUUAAUAGUCAAAACUUUCAACAACGGAUCUCUUGGUUCUCGCAUCGAUGAAGAACGCAGCGAAAUGCGAUAAGUAAUAUGAAUUGCAGAUAUUCGUGAAUCAUCGAAUCUUUGAACGCACAUUGCGCCCUCUGGUAUUCCGGAGGGCAUGCCUGUUUGAGCGUCAUUUCUCCCUCAAACCCCCGGGUUUGGUGAUGAGCAAUACGCCAGGUUUGCUUGAAAGUUAGGAGGAGUAUUUAUAACAAUGUAUUAGGUCUAACCACUCCAUUGUGCUUAAUAAAAGCUCCAAUCUAUAUUUCAAACUUCGACCUCAAAUCAGGUAGGAUUACCCGCUGAACUUAAGCAUAUCAAUAAGGCGGAGGAA